rnacentral:lncRNA from 1 species
CUAAACUAAGCCCCCUCUUGCUUACACCAUAAUGGUGGCUCCAGGGUUGUGAAAAGCGACCGCUUCAUCGCAUAAAGCGAGAAGCGACGCGACGCGGCAGACCAUCGAUUUUUUCUCCUUCAGGCGACGCGAACAAAAGAAGCGAGCGCUUACCUGGGAAAAGCGACGCGAGUGGAAAAGCGAAAAGCGACAGAAGCGAUCGAUUUGUUGAAAAAUCGAUCACCCAGUAUAAAAAAACCAUUGUACAGCCUCAACCAGUUGCGGAAAUCAAAAAAAGAGCUCGACCAACUACCCCUCUUCUUCUCCAGUGACGGAAAUUAGCGUUUCCAUCGGUGAAGACCACCGGCGACCGGCGACCGACGAUAAAACCCAGGUAUGUUUUCUUCUCCUUUCUUCUUGUUUUUUCUUUCUCCUUCAUCUUCUUCUUCCAUCUUCUUUUUCUUUCUCUCUGAAGACGACCUGCGUCGUUUUUUCUUUUUUUUUUCAUCUCCGAUCAUCAUCGAUGUCGGCUUCUCUGUCGCUGUUUCACUGUUUCUUUUUCAUUUGUUUUUAGCCCAGCCCUUUUCAAUUUUUUUUUAAAAUUACUGUAGCACAUAUAUACAUAUAUAUAUAUAUUAAAUUAUUGUAUUAUUAUUUUUAAUUUCAGUUUAAUAUCAGGAUUAUUAUUUUUAAUUUCAGUUUAAUUUCAGUUUAAUUUCAGUGUAUUUUCAGUUUAUUUUCAGUUUAAUAAUUAUUGUUUCGGUUAUAUUUUAAUAGGGAUAAUUAAAUGUCUCAAAGUUCGAAAGAUAAAGACCCGGCUUGGCGAUAUGGCCAAAGAGUUGAUGGGAAGAGUACUAAUGUUGUAUGCAUAUUUUGCAACAAGGUUACAACGGGUGGAAUUUAUCGCU